UACGGAGGAUCCAAGCGUUAUCCGGAUUCAUUGGGUUUAAAGGGUGCGUAGGCGGAAUGAUAAGUCAGCGGUGAAAUCCCUCGGCUUAACUGAGGAACUGCCGUUGAUACUGUCAAUCUUGAGUACAUUUGAUGUGGGCGGAAUGUGUCAUGUAGCGGUGAAAUGCUUAGAUAUGACACAGAACACCGAUUGCGAAGGCAGCUCACAAAACUGUAACUGACGCUGAGGCACGAAAGCGUGGGUAUCAAACAGG
rnacentral:rRNA from 1 species